AGUUCACUCCAAGGAUUUCGUUCACGAAUGUUAUCAUAGGUUACGCGCGACUCCAGAGGCAAUUUGGAAUCUCGGCACGAAAUCGUCUGAUGAAAAUCUGAGGUGCCGACACACCAAUUUUGAACGUGCCACAGAGGAUCAAGGCAAAAAACGAGAGCAAAAAGGUGCCCGCUGAAGGCGAAAAUGAAGCAGGAUCUGGCUUGCAUCUGGUGCAUGAAGAAAUUGCUGACCUAUUAGUUGCAGUCUACCUGCCACCAACAGUGGUGAGCAACUCUAAGGAAACAUGCAAGAAAGGGAGUCUCUUUGGGAUGACGACCCCUCAUCAUCUCAUGAGGAUACAGUGGUUGAUGAAUGGUUCAUGUUCUCAGACACAUGGAUGGAAACUUCAACAAACACUUCAUGAAAAAGCCAGUCAGUGCUAGCACCAGGAACUGAACGUGGACCGUUCUGCUACCGGUCACAGAUGUUACAUUUCAGGCACUCAUUGACUUUUGGUGAAUUACUUGAUGACAUUGCCCCAACGUGGAGCUCGCCACAGCUCGUUUGCAUAUCUGUUAAUGUUGUGGCGUGUGUCGCGUUUUUCUCUUUGUGUGUUGCAGACUCAGAACGGUUACUUUGGAUCAGGUCGGGUACGUUUCAUUUAGACAUGGCAAACAAAGUGGUGUUUCUCAACACAACUUAGCAGUGGCCUUCAUGCAUUACUGCUGCCGCUAUUAAGCGUGAAUGGAAAGCUGCACAUUAUGUUCACUCUACUUUUAUCGUGUGCUAUGUAAUCUUGUUCAAGUUCUGUCAAACGAGAGUGCAAUGCUAUAAAAAAAUUCAGUACACUGUUUAAGUGGGAUGAAUGGUAGCGCAUGAAUGCGGGAAGGAAACUGUCAUGUUAUGGCAAGUGUUUAUGUAUUGUACAUUUAACUACUAAUUUUAUUUCUUAGCUUUCGCUGGCGUAUCGUGUCGAGCCAUGUUAUAUUAAUUUGGAACAUGUUCUUCUUAGUAGCCGGAGCAGCUGAUACACAGUGAGAACAUAGCCCGUGUGUGUUUGUCUCUUCCACCGCAGCCCUUGGUAUUCCUCCCUGAUGGCUGCACGUGUCAGGGAUAGGUUUCAGAACCAGUAAUUCUAGCCAAGUGAGAAUUGCUUUUCGGGGGACCAUCACGCUGACAGAUGAAACAUAUGGUUUAAAUUAUUUGCAGGACAGGAAUUGCGUAGCUUCACACAAAUACUACUACUACGACGAAAGAGUGAUUUCAAAUCUAGCUUUUUUGUGUUCCUGACAUUAUCGCACAAGAUGUAGUAUCCACUAUGAUCCUUUAUAUGGGGGGUAUGUACAGUGCUAUCAACAGAUGUGCUAUUUACAAAUCUGUUUCCUACUGUGUUGAAAUGGGGUAGUUUGUAUCUGAGAGCCAUAGUGAAACACAGGUAGCCAAGGACGGACUUUUGAUGCCCUCGAGAAACAUGGCAACACAUCGCAGGGGCUCUGGAUGUUGCCUAAAUUUCCAGGACACAGAGCUCAAGGCAGCAUUUAAACAACAAGUGGUCAGAGAAAUCCAAGACAAUUCCAUGUGUAAGCAGUCCGCUGUUGGAUUUGCUUCUGUCCGAGAUACGGUAUCUCAAAGGGGACGCACGGGCACACACAGAAUGAUACUAGGACUGCCUGUGAAAUAGAAUGAGGAGCUAGCAGUCGCAUUGUAGCUGUCUCAUCCUGUCAUUGGCUGCUUGUGUUUCACUAUGGCCAUGUUUGCUAUUGCAAAGAAAACAAAAACAAAAAGACCAUAGAAAAACACGAAAAGAUCGACCUGGAAAGCUGCCUGUUCCAGUGCUCACAUGGAGGCAAUGCAAUGAUGUAACAUGUUCCAUUCAUGAACUGUACAUAGUGGUACAUAUCACAAUGCCAACCGAUUAUUCAGAUUUUUCUUGAACUACUUUGUCUUUUGGAGCUUUGAUUGCCCAGCCUAUUAGUGGAACUUUAUGUGAUACCCCUCUUGAGAUACUUUAAGAUUGCUGAUGCCGUGCAGUUUGUUUAUUUUGAAACUGUAUUGUGCUGAUGUACAAAAAGAGAAUUGUCAUAUCUGCAUUUGAGUACAUAGGAAUAAUUUCUAUGUACUUUCCUUGUUGACAUUAAU